GGGCCUGUGGCCCAGUAUGGAUAGGGCGUUGGCCUCCGAAGCCAGAAAUCGUGGGUUCAAAUCCCACCGGGCCCGCCA
rnacentral:tRNA from 1 species